GUGUACGAUAUUGCACGACAACUUUAAGAAAUGGCUAGAGUAAGUUCACGAAGAAGGUCGACACGAUUUUUUGUGUACGAUAUUGCACGACAACUUUAAGAAAUGGCUAGAGUAAGUACACGAAGAAGGUCGACACGAAUUUUUGUGUACGAUAUUGCACGACAACUUUAAGAAAUGGCUAGAGUAAGUACACGAAGAAGGUCGACACGA